CAUUUCUUGGGCUGCUCUUGCGGCAUAUGGCAGUUCCCAGGCUAAGGGUCAAAUCGGAGCUGUAGCCACCGGCCUACGCCAGAGCCACAGCAACGCGGGAUCCAAGCCGAGUCUGCAACCUACAUCACAGGUCACGGCAAGGCCGGAUCGUUAACCCACUGAGCAAGGGCAGGGACAGAACCCGCAACCUCAUGGCUCCUAGUCGGAUUCGUUAACCACUGCGCUACGACGGGAACUCCCAAAAUUUGAGCAUUUUUUUCUCCUUCUCUCCUUCCUUCUCUUUCUCUUUUUCUUUCUCUUUAUUUUUACAGCUGCACUUGCAGCAUAUGGAAUUUCCCAGGCCUGAUGUUGAAACAGAGCUGCAGCUGCUGAUCUAUGCCAUAGCAACAGCAACACCAGUUCUGAGGCACAUCUGGCACCUACACCAAAGGUUGUGGUAAUGCCAUAUCCUUUAACCCACUGAGCAAGGCCAGGGAUCAAACUUGCAUCCUCAGGACACUACAUCAGGUUCUUAAUCCACUAAGCCAUAAUGGGAACUCCCAAAUUUGAGCUUAUAGGUACAACUUAAACCUUUACAUCCAUCUGACCUCCUGGUCUUUUGAGUCUAGUUCAUUAUGAGAGAAUUAAUUUCUUGUAACUGUGAAGGGUGAGAGUGUCUUAUAUCAUAUAAAACUUUUUCCUUUACCAACUUACCAUUUAGACUCAUGAAGUAGGUCUAGUAAGAAUUACUAUUUCAAAGAUAACAAAAUUGAAGUUUAGAAAACAAUAAAUCAUGAGUUCCAAGUUACAUCAUAUGGGGAUUAAAAUUAAAACUCAGACUUAUCUGAAUUCAUUGCCUUUCAUUUUUAUCACAUCAGAGAAGUAUAAUAUAUACCAUACAUACAUGUAGCAUACACAUAUAUGUAUAAUAUUAGACAUAUAUCAUUAUUAUUACUAGAUAAUUUAGGAGCACUAAGUACUCUCUGCUCCCUGUACCAUGAUUUUCUGGAGUGUUUUUUGUUGUGGGGUAGUGGUGAGUGUGUGGGGGAGGGGCUCUGUGUCUCUUCCUGGCUGCACGUGUUCUUUUGUAGCAAGAUGAGAUAGGAGAGGGUGCUAAAGAAUAGAUGCUAACUCUUCAGGGAAGGGGAGAGAGCAUACAGAGUGACAUAGAGUAGCUCAUUGCUAAUCUUCUCCACAGUAUCUCUUAACAUCUCCCCACAGCCUACUUAUAUUAUGCACGAGUCCAAGUUAAUACCUGAUUGCUUCUUCUCUGAAAACUUUAACUUAAAAAGCAUGUUACCAUGAUGUCAGCAUCUAGCAUUAACAACUGAUUUUCUUUUAAGGUACCUGGCCAGUUUUUAAACACACAAAGUGUACUAUAAUAAAUUUAUCCUGAAAUAUGAAUUUCCCCUAAAAUAAAAUGCUUAAAAGAGAAAAUAAAAACAUAAGGUAUCUGAGAUAUCUUCAAAUCCAAGGGAGCUGUCAGUAAUCAGCAAGACUUGUUGCAAAUGUCUUCAUCAAAUAAACCCUCAGUAGCACAGUACAAAAUAGCAUGGGACUCUCAUUAAACUAGCUGUGAUGGAGGCAUAGGUUACAUGUGGACAUGUGGGUGGUAUUUGUCAUAAUAUUAUGCCACAUGCUUUUGAAUAGUCAAGUACUAGGCACAUUCCACAUAACUAGGCUUUGACAUAUUCAGAAUCCAAGCAUUCCAAUAUGAUUCCCAGGGACAAAUAACAUAAACCUUCUUCCUUUCAAAUCUCAAGCAAGUAGACCCCAUGGCUCAGAGGACCAAUGACCUCUGGCUUAAAAUUGGCCAGAGUGUCAUCAAACCUAUUAACAUAUUUCCAUCGUGUUUUCCUUUCCAGAAGCUCUGUUGUAAAGAAUACUCAUUCACUUUGGGAUAGCUCUUUCUCCCAGUGGUCUUCAGACUUACAACUCCUACAAUUGUGCAUGACCUCAGAAACAUGAAAGUAAGUUUAUCCAUCCCGAAGAUGUUUUCCUUACGGUUCCUCACUAAAACGAAAUAGAACACAAACGCUCUAAAGAAAAAAUACUUUAAAAAUGACCACCAGGAGUUCCAGCUGUGGCUCAGCGGAAACAAACCCAGCUAGUAUCCAUGAGGAUGCACAUUUGAUCCCUGGCCUCACUCAGUGGAUGUUUAAGGAUUCAGCAUUGCUGUGAGCUACAGUAUAGGCUGCAGCUCAGAUCUGGCAUUGCUGUGGCUGUGGCUUAGGAUGACAGCUGCAGAUCUGAUGAGACCCCCAGCCUGGGAAUUUCCAUAUGCUGCAAGUGUGGCUCUAAAAACAACAACAACAACAACAAAACUGGCUACCAGUCAUAAUGAAACAUAUUGAUUUUAUUACACUAAUCAGAGAAAAAAUUUGAAAAAAAUCAUGUUUUUGUCAAAUUAUUUAUAAAGUAUAAGAUUUUAAUUCAAACAUGCUUUGCCUGUUUAAAUAAAAAUGUUCUUCUAAAUAAAAAUGGAUGCUCCUCUGUUCUGAGUUCUAAUCUUGUAUACCUUUAUUUUUUACAAAUGUGAACUAUUGGUGAUGCAGUAUACUCUAAAGUAUACUCAAAACACCUGGAAAUCUGCUACAAUGUAAAUUCUGACUCAGUUGUGCUGGGGUGGGUCCUGCUCAUUUGUAUGAUGACAAUGUUCUUGGUCCAUGAAUCAUACUUUAAAUAAUGAGGCUCUGGUAUAGAAAUUGCACCUGCUCUGGAUAAACAUUAUCUAUCAGAUCAUGGUAUGUAAUUGGAGACUUGUGUUCUGCAGAGUAGUUCUUAAUUGAGAAACACAAAACAUAAAAGCUUACAUUGAUGAACAGUUUCAUUACACCAUAGAUUUAUCAAAAGGGUAAUGUAACCUCUACCUUAUUUAAUUAAUUAAUUCAUUUAACAAAUCCUUAUAUAAUGCUUAUGUAAUCAUACAAAAGCUUAUAUAUAAUAUAAUCUUUAUAUAAAACAUAUUAUUAUAUAAUGCAUACUUCAGGCCCUACUACAUAUUAUUUUAUGUUUAGAAACCUCCUUUCUUCCUUAUAAUAACCCUAUGAGGUAGACAUUAUCUUUUUCUCUCACUUUACCAGUGAGGAAACUAAGAUAUAGAGUGGUUAAGUGACUUAUUUAAUAUCACAGAUAAUUAACUCUAGCGUCUCAGUGGCUAAAAUAUUUCUGUAUUUUCUUUAUAGGAGUGAAAAUCCCACUUGCUAAAAUUUUCUCACAUCAUUUGCCAAAUAUUAAUUUAAAAAGUCAUAUUCAACUUAAAAAAAAAAAAAAUAGAACCUAAUACAUGCCUUGCGCUCUGCUAGGGUUUUUUUCCCCUAACUUAAUUUUUCUAGUAACUGUGAGAUAUGUGCUGUUAUUAUCAGUUCGCAGGAAAAGCUGCAAAAACCAGAAUGAAAUUUAAGCAGGCUUCCUUUUAAUGUGUUAUGUUGACCUCCAAGUAAAAAUCACCCAACAAUUAUGCAAAUCGUGUAAAAAAAUAGAGUUCUAUGAAAACUGGAUAUUUCUUCAAAUAUAUGUAAUGUUUGAAUUAACAUUUUGUAUUUCAUCUCAAUUUAAAUAAGUUGAUAUUUUUAUUUAUACUAAAUAGUACCUAAUUCAAAGUCUAGUAAUUUAUUAUUUUUUAAAAUACAAUUAUUUGCUGUUAAUUUUUAAAUAUUUUAAAAUAAUUUUAAAGAUAAAGAUAUUUCAAAUUAUUAAUAAAGUGGUUUUUAAGUACUUAAACUAGUUUUAAAUUUAAUGAAAAUUAGGAAUGGAGAAUUACAUGUAUAUUUUCUCUUUUAGGGUACUAUUUGAAUGCUCUUGAUAUUUAAUUAAUCAAAUGCAGUAAUUAUAUAGCUGUAUUCCUUCCUACUGAUUUAAUUAUCAAAGUUUUCUGAAAAUUUUCAGGAGGAAGAGACACUAGGAAAAAGCAACUAAAGAAAACAUAAAACAUGUGAUAGAAUAAAUAAAAUUGUAUACACAAGCUCACAAGGUAAGAGGUUAAAAAGCCCUGGGGACGCCAGUGACACGAAUGGAACAGCCAGAGUGGGGAGGGACAGCUGCCAGAUAUCUUUUACUAAGAGAUGGCAUCACUGUAGACAAACCAAUCUGCAACUGUCAGUCAAAGGCAUAACCUUAACACUCACCUUUUGCAAAUUAUCAGGGCCAUAUCCUCCCCAAAACGGGCAAGUGUGUCCAUGGAUAUGGAUUGAGAGUGACACCUGACUUAAAAGGUUAAUCCACCUCUUAAAAUAAAUGGCUCAUGAUGACAUUAUAAACAAUGAAUUAUUUUAGCUCUUACUUUUCCCUUUUUUAUAGUUUUUCCCAACAUGAAAGCUGGAUUUUGAUUUCAUUCAUUCAUUUCCUUUCUUUCUCUCCCCUACCUCUCCUUUCUUCUUUUUCUUUUUCUUUAUUCUUUUCUUCUCUUGCACCUUUCCCCAGGGUCCCAGGGCAGGGAGCAGGACAGGACCAAGCAAGGGGACACCCAAGCAAAUACACAAUUUUAGAGCUUUUGCAAACAGUUCAACUUUACCCCAACAUUCCUGGGUGGGACUUGGGAGCAGUUAUUUUCUGUCAAAAUGAAAACCUUCUUACAUGGUGUAACCCAUACACAGGCUGUAUCCUUAUGCUUUGGCUCCUCCCAAACAAAGCUUCACUUUGUAAGAACAGUCACAAUUGAUAGCAAAGUGAAUUGCUAUCAAUUGUGACUGUUCUUACACUUUGCAUUCUGUAAAAAAACUGGAUGAGGAAAUUUACUUAGAAAAAAUACAAUUUUCCUUUUUUUAAAAGUCCAUUACUCUCUGUCCUCAGCAUCCAGCCAACAAGCCUCUGUUUUUUCCCCUCUAGCACUCAGUUUUCUGGGCUCCCCAUUCCCACUUUUUAGGUCUCACCUACUCUGGGGCUUCUCGAUCCUUUUGGCUUUCUAUUCCCACCUUAAUCUCUACAUCACAAUUUAAUAUUGUUUUUAAGAAUGUGAAAGCCAGCAGAGGAAAAUUAAGGUGUUAGAAAAUAAACACUGACAUAUCUAUCAAACUCUCAGGAAUUUGUUCUGAGGAACAGGCAGUAGGGAGAUGGAAACAUCUGGCAAUUCCAAAUUUUAGGGAGAGUGGUGGACUAUUCUGGGUCAGAUUGAUUUCUUUCGUAAUAAUCCUGCCUUCUACAACUGUAUACAAGACUGACUCUGUUUUAUAUCGUAUCUAUUCAAAUAAUCUGUAUGCAUAAAAUGUAGAUAUCACCCCAAGUAAAUAAAGAGACUAAUUUUAAAUUAAUAAAUAAAUAUUGCAUUUCUUUAACUGUUUUGUAAUUAGCAAGAUGCAUUCCUUUCUCAUAGCAUCAGUGAGUCCUAGUCUUAGACCAAAGUGCUUCUGUACUUCUAUAACUUUGUGAUGCCUACUAGAAGAAAUAAAAGUAUUCUAUAACCUUUCAAAGUUUGCUCUUUUUUACAGCAAGAAAGACUUUGCUUUGUAAAUCCUAGUAAGGACUCUAAGAUUUUGGGGUGGGCCAAGGUCUUGCAGUUUGAUGAUAUGUGGUAGAGGUGUGGGGCAGUGAAGGGACAAAUGAGCAAUUACUCCAGUUACAUAUGCAAAAUGUGGCACUUUACUAUGGUUUUGUUUGUUUGUUUGUUUUUGUUUUUUUAAGGCCACACCUUGGCAUUUGGAAAUUCCCUGGGCUAGGUAUCGAAUGGGAGCUGCAGCUACAAGCCUUCACCACAGCCAUUGCAACACUGGAUCUUUAGCCCACUUAGGGAGGCCAGGGAUCAAACCUAUAUCCUCACAGACAUUGUGUUGGAUUCCUAAUCCACUGAACGACAACAGGAACUCUCACUUUACUAUUGCUUGAAUUCAUAUUUUCGGCUAUGCCUUCUUAUAAUUUUUAUUUCCAGUUGUCAAUUUUCUAGUUGUG
rnacentral:lncRNA from 1 species